rnacentral:rRNA from 1 species
GACGUAGGGCGCGAGCGUUGUCCGGAUUUAUUGGGCGUAAAGAGCUCGUAGGCGGUUUGUCGCGUCGUCUGUGAAAUCCCGUGGCUCAACUGCGGGCUGGCAGUCGAUACGGGCAGGCUGGAGUUCGGUAGGGGAGACUGGAAUUCCUGGUGUAGCGGUGAAAUGCGCAGAUAUCAGGAGGAACACCGGUGGCGAAGGCGGGUCUCUGGGCCGAUACUGACGCUGAGGAGCGAAAGCGUGGGGAGCGAACAGG